rnacentral:rRNA from 1 species
AUUGAACGCUGGCGGCAGGCCUAACACAUGCAAGUCGAGCGGAUGAAGGGAGCUUGCUCCUGGAUUCAGCGGCGGACGGGUGAGUAAUGCCUAGGAAUCUGCCUGGUAGUGGGGGAUAACGUCCGGAAACGGGCGCUAAUACCGCAUACGUCCUGAGGGAGAAAGUGGGGAAUCUUCGGACCUCACGCUAUCAGAUGAGCCUAGGUCGGAUUAGCUAGUUGGUGGGGUAAAGGCCCACCAAGGCGACGAUCCGUAACUGGUCUGAGAGGAUGAUCAGUCACACUGGAACUGAGACACGGUCCAGACUCCUACGGGAGGCAGCAGUGGGGAAUAUUGGACAAUGGGCGAAAGCCUGAUCCAGCCAUGCCGCGUGUGUGAAGAAGGUCUUCGGAUUGUAAAGCACUUUAAGUUGGGAGGAAGGGCAGUAAGUUAAUACCUUGCUGUUUUGACGUUACCAACAGAAUAAGCACCGGCUAACUUCGUG